UUUUUUUUGUUUGUUUAUUCUUUUUUUUUUCUUUUCUUUUUUUUUUUUUUUAAGAUUCCAUACUGUAGUCACACUUUUUGGUGUUUAUCUUUGUCUGACUUAUUUCACUUAGAAUAAUACACCCUAGGUCCAUCCAUGUUGUCACAAAUGGCAAGAUCUCAUUCUUUUUUUAUGGCUGGGUAGUAGUCAAUUGCUUAUACAUAUAUGCCACAUAUUCUUUAUCCAUUCAUCUGUGGAUGGGCACUUGGGUUGCUUCCAUAUCUUGGCUUUUGUAAAUAAUGCUGUAAUAAACAGAGAGGCACAUAGGUCUUUUCAAAUUAGUGUUUUUGUUUUCUUUGGGUAAAUACCCAGUAAUGGAAUUACUAGGUUGUAUGAUGUUUACAUUUUAAAAAUUUUUUUUAAGGAGCCUUCACACUGUUUUCCACAGUGACUGUACCAAUUUACAUUCUCACCAACUGUAUGCAAGAGUUUCUUUUUCUCCACAUCAUUAUCAAAAACUAUUUCUUGUCUUUUUGGUACUAGCCUCCUGACAGGUGUGAGGUGAUACCUCAUUGUAGUUUUGAUUUGCAUUGCUCUGAUGAUUAGUGAUGUUGAGCACCUUUUUCAUGUGUCUAUUGGCCAUCUGUAUGUCUUAGUGGGAAAAUGUGGGUAUUUUUCAUGUUGAGUUAAGUUCUUUAUAUAUUUUGGCCCUUAACCUUUGUUAAAAAAAUUGUAUUUAAAUUCUAGUUAGUUAACAUAUAGUAUAAUAUUAGUUUUAAGAGUACAGUUUAGUGAUUCAUCUCUUACAUACAACACCUAGUGCUCAACACAAGUGCCCUCCUUAAUACCCAUCACCCAUUGAGUAUUUUGGCUACUAACCUUUUACUGCAUAUAUCAUUGGCAAAUAUCCUCUCCCAUUACUGGGUUUCCUUUUCAUUUUGCUGAUGGUUUUCUUUGCUGUGCAUAAACUUUUUAUUUUUUGGUAUAGUCCCAAAAGUUUAUUUUUGCUUUUGUUUCCCUUGCUUGAAGAGACAUAUCUAAAAAGUGUUGCUGAGGCCAAUGCCAAAGAGAUUACUGCCUAUGCUUUCUUCGAGGAGUUUUAUGGUUUCAGGUCUCACCUUUAAGUUUUCAACGGAUUUUGAGUUUAUUUUUGUAUAUGGUAUAAUAAAGUGCUCCAAUUUCAUUCUUUUGCAUGGAGCUGUCCAGUUUUCCCAACAUCAUUUUUUUAAGACUAUUUUUUCCAUUGUACAAUUCUUAAAUCCUUUGUCAUAGAUAAAGCCAACUGAUUUUAAAUCUUGAUCUUGAGAUCCUUAAAACUGAUUUUAAAUAUUAGUUACAUCUAAAAAAUACCUUUAUAGCAAACAUUUACACUAAUGUUUGACCAAACAACUAAUCACCAAUGUCUAGCCGAAUUAAUACAUAAAAUUAACCAUCACGUAUGUCAAAGAUGAAUUACUAUUUAGCAAUCAUGAGUAAUGAAUUACGUUUUCUUUUUUUAAGAAAUAUUUUAUUUAUUUAUUCAUGAGAGACAGAGAGAGAGAGAGGCAGAGGGAGAAGCCAGCUCCAAGGCUCCAUACAGGGAGCCCGACAUGGGACUUGAUUCUGGGUCCCCAGGAUCAGGCCCUGGACUAAGGCAGCACUAAACUGCUGAGCCACAUGGGCUGCCUGAAUUACAUGUUCAAACAAACGAUAUCUCAAAAUUAUUAGUAAAAUAAAUAAGAAACUGAAUGAGAUGACUAUUAAUGUAAGUUAAAUACAUGCAUCUUACAGUACCAUUCAUACAUAUAAACAUAUGCAUGCAUGCAUAGAUCUUUUGAGAUAAGUGGAUGUCUAGGUGGGAGCGUGCAAAGGUGAUGGAGCACAAAAAGAAAAAUAAAUGACAUGAACCGUAACCAGACACCAACCAGGUGUCUUGCAUGAUCUGAUGAGGAGAGCCUCCAUUCAUUAGUGACAGAGGAGCAUGAUUAAGUCAGUUUUAUGCAUGUGACAUGGAGAAUCAAGUGUGCUAUCUUAAUUCACCACUCACAGGUUAAAUUAUUUUUAGAGUUCAUAUUAAAUAUCCUAUGGCACUUUGAGAUUGAAGGACAUUUACUGAACCUAGUAAGUGUACCUACUAAAAUCCUACAGAAAAUGUCAUUCUUUAUGAUUGAGAUUGGCCAUCACUCCUGUCAUCACAUGGUAGUGAAGGGCACAACACUACCACACAACAAAAAAAGAAAUACAGCAUGUAAUGAUUGGAAGAAAGUUUAGAAUUCCUCAUUAUUAUCAGAUGAUAGAUGGAUGCCUAUAAAGAAAAAUGUAGGGGAAUCUAAAAAAAAAAAAAUUAGAUAGACUGGAAGAGUUCAAUAAGAUUGCUGAGUUAAUUGUUUUAAGUGAUUUUUGUGCCUAACAUGGGGCUCAAACUAAGGAUCUCAAGAUCAAGAGCCACACACUCCACCAACUGAGCCUGCUAGGUGCCCUAUUAAUAUAUGAAACAAUAUAAAAUACUAGUAUGUAAAAUUAAUCACAUGCCUACAUAGCAUCAACAAACAAUAACAUAUAAUUUUAAAAAUUGCAGCAAAAAGAAAUCAGGUUCAAAAGACCAAAAUAAACAUAGAUCUAUACCACACUAAAUAGGAAGAAUCAAUCUAAUAAAACUGUCAAUUGUUGCCAUAUUAAUCGAUUAGCUAAAUGCAAAUUAAUUAAAAUCUUAAAAGGGUUUUUCUUGAGAAACUAAUUCUAAAAUCUAUACAAAUGAAUAAAAAACCAAGCACAUUCAGUGUACUUCUGGAAAAAAAGCAAAGGUUAAAAGGCAGUGGGGUGGGGGAUACUUAAAACUCCAAAUAAGUCUUAUGCCAAAUGUCUCAACUAUUACUUAGUCACAUCAGAGUUUCCCAGCAUUGGUACUGUUGACAUUUAGAUAGACCCAAGCAUUCUUUGUUCUAAGGAACUGUUCUCUGCAUUGUAGGAUGUUUAGCAACGUCCUUGGCUUCUACUUCUACAGUUGUGGCAAUCAAAGAUGUCUGCAGACAUUGCCAAAUGUCCUCUUCUGGGAAAAUUGCCCUUUUUGAGCACCACUGAGUUAAAAUAAUUAAAAUCAUUUGAUAUUGGCACAAGUAUAGACAAAUAGACUCAUUGCAAAGAGGAAAGAAAUAAGAACCAUAUAUACAUGGGAAUCUGGCAUAUAUAGUAAUGCUAUUACAAGUUGAAGGGGAACUCUUCAACAGAGGAUUCUAUAAUAAUUAGCUAUUUAUGGAAAAUGAUAAGUCAAAUAGAUCUCUUAUAGCACACACAAAAUAAAUCUCUGAUUAAUUAAUGAACCAAGUGUGAAGAUCUGAAUGUAAAAUUAAGGCAGUAUACAACUUUUUACCAGCAAUUUCAUUUGUAUCAAUCAAUCCUAGAAAAACUUCACACAUAUAUUCGAGGAGAUAUUUAAGAAGAUAUUUACUGUGGCAUAGUUUGUAUUGGCAAAAGCAUGCAAUGCAAAUAAUUUUACUAUCCCUCACUUUAUUUUUAGUCUGAUGGAAUGCUAUGUAUCUGUUUAAAUGAAUUAAACAUUUCUCCAAAAAAGACAUACAAAUGGCCGAAAAAAAUGAAAAACUGCUCAGCAUCACCUGGCAUCAGGGAAAUAUGAUCAAAAUUACAAUGAGAUACCACCUCAUACCUGUCAGAAUGGCUAAAAUUAAGAACUCAACAAAUAACAGAUGUUGAUGAGGACAUGGAGAAAGGGAAACCCUCUUUCACUGCUGGUGAGAAUGAAAACUAGUGCAGCCACUCUGGAAAACAGUAUGGAAGUUCCUCAAAAAGUUAAAAAUAGAGCUACCCUAUGACCCAACAAUUGUACUACUAGGUAUUUAUCCAGGGGAUAUAAACAUAGUGUUUCAAAGAGGGCACCUGCACCCCAAUGUUCACAGCAGCAAUGUCCAAAAGAGCCAAAAUAUGGAAAGAGCUCAGAUAUCCAUUGACAGAGGGAUGAAUAAAGAUGUAUAUAUAGUGAAUAUUACUCAGCUGUCAAAAAGAAUGAAAUCUUGCCAUUUGCAACAAUGUAGAUAGAACUAGAGGAUAUUAUGCUAAACAAAAUAAGUCAAAGAAAGAUAAUACCAUAUGAUUUUACUCAUAUGGAAUCAAGAAACAAAACAGAUGAAUAUAGGGGAAGGGAAGGAAAAUAAAAUAAAAUGAAAAUAGAGAGGGAGGCAAACCACAGGAGACUUUUAACUCUAGGAAACAAACAGGGUUGCUGGAGGGGAGUCUGUUGGGUGGAUGGGGUAACUGGGUGAUGGGUAUUAAGGAGAUCAUUUGAUGUAAUGAGCACUGGGAGUUACAUGCAACUGAUGAAUCACUAAAGUCUACCCCUGAAACUAAUAAUACAGUUUAUGUUAACUAAAUUGAACUUAAAUAAAGAAGUUUAAAAAACUAAAAAAAAAUUAAAAAUUUAAAAAAAAUAAAUGAAUCAGCUGGAUCUAAAACUAGCAGCAUGAGUAAACCUUAAAAUACAAUACUAAGAGAAGGAAGCAAGUUGCAAAGCAAUACUUUCAGUAAGAUAUCAUAUAUUUUAAAAGUGAAAACACUAAAAACAAUAUUUUAUAGUAGCCUACAAAUGGAUUAAAUAAAUAGAAGCCCACGAGCAAAAAUGUUAUCUUUCUGAAAAGCAGGAGAGGACAGAGGGAUAAUAUAAGAUGUUAAUUACAUAUUUAAAUAAAUCGUUUUUUGAAAAGUUCUGACAGCAAUGUGGCAUAAUUUCAAUAUUAAUGUUUGAGCAUCAAACGUAAAAGUAUGCUUUUUAUAUUUCUAUGUGUGAAAAAUGUGUUCAUAAUAAAAAAUAAAGUAUCCUUGGUUAUGUCUAUGUGCCAUUGAUUCAAGGUAUUUUUAUUGUCAGGAUAUAAAAUUAAAUCUCCUGUAAAUAUAAAAAUACUAUUAAGAUGAUUGGUUUAGGGAUGCCUGAGUGGCUCAGUGGUUGAGCAUCUGCCUUUGGUGCAGGACAUGAUCCUGGAGUUCCGGGAUCGAGUCCCUGCAGGGAGCCUGCUUCUCCCUCUGCCUAGGUCUCUGUCUCUCUCUGUGUCUCUCAUGAAUAAACAAAAUCUUUAAAAGGAAAAGAAAAAAAAGAGGAGUGGUUCACAGGCCAAUUGUGACGGCAAUGCAGGCUUUUUAUUUGCAUUCCUCCCUUAUAAAAGCAUCCCUGCAUGAGAGAUAUGGUGCUGAGUGGUUUUCCCAGAAAAGGUUGUACAUUCCUGCAUGUGGACUGGCAAAACAUAUGGAUAGAUAUUCUCUUCCCUGCUCAGGAGGUCAUCAUUACCACCUACACCCUCAGAGCCUUCUUCUGUUUUGUUUUGUGGUUUUCCAGCGGGGAGAAUUAAUAUUUAAGUUAUACAGGGGCACCUGGGGGCCUCAGCCGCUUCAGUGUCCGACUCUUGAUUUGGGCUCUUCAUGAUCUUGGGGUCAUGGGAUUGAGUCCCACCUCAGGCUCCUCACCCAGUGUGGAACUUGCUUGAGAUUUUCUCUCUCCCUCUGCCCCUCCCCUAUCAUUCUCUCUCCCUCUCUAAAAAAAAAAAAAAAA
rnacentral:lncRNA from 1 species